ensembl:lncRNA
CAAUUGUUAAAUAAUUCUCCUAACUAUGUCAAGCUGGGACUUAACCAAGCCUUUGCUUUCCAGAUAUCAGCAGCCUUUGUGGUCAUAAGCUGGCUCGACAACAUCUCGUGUCACCUUGCAUUCACAAUGACACCCAGAGAGAUGGUACUGCCAGGGGAGAACCCAUUCAUCUGAUUUAGUGUUGAACUUUCUUCUCCUGCAUCCUAUUCUUCAUGCAGUCCAGAAUGGCAUCACAUCUGAAAGAUGUACAUCUUCCUCUCAACUCAUCAAUUCUCACUAAUUACAUCUCUGGUGGCGACAAUCUCAACCCCGUCCCCAAUUACAGCCGGACAUUGGAAGAUGCUAUUCCAGCAGGAGUUUAAAAUGAAUGACUUUAACUGAACCAAGCUUGUGUACCUCACUACAGAUAUGAAAGCCAUUAAAUAUAAAGUCAUUACAGAAAUCUGUCACUGGAGAAAAAAAAGAAUAAAAAAAGCACCUUGAGACAGCUGUUUCCUGCCUGUAAUUAAUCUCAGUGUCCCCAAAAUAGGAUAAAGACAAGAACAGGAAACUGCAGCACACCAUGUUGAUCAGUUACAUGUUCCCAGUUC